CUCUUCGGGGAUGAUUAAACCGGCGCACGGGUGAGUAACACGUGAGUGACCUGCCUUUUAGACUGGAACAACUUACCGAAAGGUGAGCUAAUGCCGGAUGAGUUAUAUAAGUGCAUGUUUAUAUAGGAAAAGUUGGGGAGACCUGACGCUGAAAGAUGGACUCGCGUCCCAUUAGCUAGUUGGUAGGGUAAUGGCCUACCAAGGCGACGAUGGGUAGCCGGCCUGAGAGGGUGGCCGGCCACACUGGGACUGAGACACGGCCCAGACUCCUACGGGAGGCAGCAGUGGGGAAUUUUGCGCAAUGCUCGUAAGAGUGACGCAGCGACGCCGCGUGAAUGACGAAGGCCUUCGGGUCGUAAAGUUCUUUCGACAGGGAAGAAAGUGCCCAUAAGUAACUGUGUAUGUAUUGACGGUACCUGUAUAAGCAGCCCCGGCUAACUCCGUGCCAGCAGCCGCGGUAAUACGGAGGGGGCGAGCGUUGUUCGGAGUGACUGGGCGUAAAGAGCACGUAGGCGGUGUUGUAAGUCAUUAGUCAAAGACUAGAGCUCAACUUUAGUAAGGCUAGUGAUACUAUAAUACUAGAGUAUCAGAGAGGAUUGCAGAAUUCCUGGUGUAGCGGUGAAAUGCGUAGAUAUCAGGAGGAAUACCGUUAGCGAAGGCGGCAAUCUGGCUGGAAACUGACGCUGAGGUGCGAAAGCGUGGGUAGCAAACAGGAUUAGAUACCCUGGUAGUCCACGCUGUAAACGAUGGAUGCUAGGUGUUGGGCUUUUAAGUUCAGUGCCGCAGCAAACGCGAUAAGCA
rnacentral:rRNA from 1 species